rfam:Gossypium raimondii chromosome 9, whole genome shotgun sequence.
AUUGGAUGCAAUGAGGGCAUCUUCGUAAUAGUUCUUUAAAUCUUUCCCACGCCUCAUACAAGGGCUCGUUAUCCAUCUGUUGGAAAGUAGUGAUCUCGUUCCUCAACUU